UCCGUAGGUGAACCUGCGGAGGGAUCAUUACCGAGUUUACAACUCCCAAACCCCUGUGAACAUACCUUAAUGUUGCCUCGGCGGAUCAGCCCGCGCCCCGUAAAACGGGACGGCCCGCCAGAGGACCCAAACUCUAAUGUUUCUUGUUGUAACUUCUGAGUAAAACAAGCAAAUAAAUCAAAACUUUCAACAACGGAUCUCUUGGUUCUGGCAUCGAUGAAGAACGCAGCAAAAUGCGAUAAGUAAUGUGAAUUGCAGAAUUCAGUGAAUCAUCGAAUCUUUGAACGCACAUUGCGCCCGCUGGUAUUCCGGCGGGCAUGCCUGUUCGAGCGUCAUUUCAACCCUCAAGCCCCCGGGUUUGGUGUUGGGGAUCGGCUCUGCCUUCUGGCGGUGCCGCCCCCGAAAUACAUUGGCGGUCUCGCUGCAGCCUCCAUUGCGUAGUAGCUAACACCUCCGUACCAUGGCGCGGCGCGGCCAUGCCGUAAAACCCCAACUUCUGAAUGUGACCUCGGAUCAGGUA
rnacentral:rRNA from 1 species